GUCAAGUGUCAAAUUUUGUCCUUCAAUUUUUUUAGCAAGAUCAUCAUGAUUAAAUAACCACUCAUCAUAUCAUAAUUUUGCAGCACAUCUCACAUAGCUACUUAACAUUAAGCAUUGACACUUAAAACUAUGAAAAAAAUCAUAUUUUGUCAAGUGUCAAAUUUUGUCCGGUUCAAUCACAUCCAACAUCUAACAUCUCAUCCAUCUAACAUAACCACUCACAUCCAACAUCUCACAUAACCACUCAUCACAUCCAACAUCUAACAUCCAACAUCCAUCUAACAUCCAAAUGAAAAGAUCUCAAAUGACAAGAUCAUCAUCUAACCUAACAAUCUAACAUCCAACAUCCAUCCAUGCAUUCAUUCAUCCAUCCAACAGUACCAAAAAAAUGAAAAAAAUGAAAAAAAAA
rnacentral:lncRNA from 1 species